CAGGCCUAACACAUGCAAGUCGAACGAAAGCUUCGGCCCUAGUGGCGCACGGGUGCGUAACGCGUGGGAAUCUGCCCCUUGGUUCGGAAUAACAGUUAGAAAUGACUGCUAAUACCGGAUGACGACGUAAGUCCAAAGAUUUAUCGCCCAAGGAUGAGCCCGCGUAGGAUUAGCUAGUUGGUGUGGUAAAGGCGCACCAAGGCGACGAUCCUUAGCUGGUCUGAGAGGAUGAUCAGCCACACUGGGACUGAGACACGGCCCAGACUCCUACGGGAGGCAGCAGUGGGGAAUAUUGGACAAUGGGCGAAAGCCUGAUCCAGCAAUGCCGCGUGAGUGAUGAAGGCCUUAGGGUUGUAAAGCUCUUUUACCCGGGAUGAUAAUGACAGUACCGGGAGAAUAAGCUCCGGCUAACUCCGUGCCAGCAGCCGCGGUAAU
rnacentral:rRNA from 1 species